rnacentral:rRNA from 1 species
AUGAACGCUAGCUACAGGCUUCACACCUGCAAGUCGAGGGGAAACGACAUCGAAAGCUUGCUUUUGAUGGGCGUCGACCGGCGCACGGGUGAGUAACGCGUAUCCAACCUGCCCAUCACUUGGGAAUAACCUUGCGAAAGUAAGACUAAUACCCAAUGAUAUCCCACGAAGGCAUCGGAAUGGGAUUAAAGAUUUAUCGGUGAUGGAUGGGGAUGCGUCUGAUUAGCUUGUUGGCGGGGUAACGGCCCACCAAGGCAACGAUCAGUAGGGGUUCUGAGAGGAAGGUCCCCCACAUUGGAACUGAGACACGGUCCAAACUCCUACGGGAGGCAGCAGUGAGGAAUAUUGGUCAAUGGGCGAGAGCCUGAACCAGCCAAGUAGCGUGCAGGAAGACGGCCCUAUGGGUUGUAAACUGCUUUUAUAAGGGAAUAAAGUGGGUCACGUGUGACUUUUUGCAUGUACCUUAUGAAUAAGGACCGGCUAAUUCCGUG